UACGUAGGCAGCGAGCGUUGUUCGGAUUUAUUGGGCGUAAAGGGUGCGUAGGCGGUUUGGCAAGUCUUGUGUGAAAUCUUCGGGCUCAACCCGAAGCCUGCAUAAGAAACUGCCGGGCUUGAGUAUGGGAGAGGUGAGUGGAAUUUCCGGUGUAGCGGUGAAAUGCGUAGAUAUCGGAAGGAACACCUGUGGCGAAAGCGGCUCACUGGACCAUUACUGACGCUGAGGCACGAAAGCUAGGGGAGCAAACAGG
rnacentral:rRNA from 1 species